CUAAACAUACAAAGAGUUACACGCAAUCAAAUUAAUCAUUUUUAUAAAACCUUGUAACUCGUUUGUACGUGUAGCAUUACUCCCUUCUCCCUCCUGCCCACACGAACACCACUAACGCCCAAACCGUCACUGCCGUCGAAGGCCGCCGCGAGCAAGGCGAACCUCAUCUCGGGCCAGGAGCAAGGCGAACUGAACUGAUCCAGCGACCACAACCCCGAAUUCGGAGCUUCUUCCCCGGCUCCGGCAACCCCUUCGAGACUCGGUUAUUCUUGUCUAGACAGAUUCCACGAUGUCUCAACCAUCAUCAUCAUCAUUCCAUGGAAGUGACGUGCGAGGAGACGAUUUCACUCCCGCCAUAGAUCGGAGAAGCAUGCAAAGACUGGAGGGGCACGAACUCAUAAAAGCAUUGAACGUGAAGUAUACCCCAGGGGCUCAGCCCUUGUUAGUCCUCUCACAUGGCUUUGGUUGUGACAAGUCUGUUUGGCACAAGGUGAUUUCUAACUUGAGAGAUUCAGAAAUUCAUAGUGGUAUUCUUACGUAUGAUCUUGCCUUUUCGGGAAAAGUUGGUAAGGAUUAUUACCACAAAUAUUCAGAUAGAUACCAAACAAUCGAUGGAUAUGUAGAGGACAUUGUAUCUAUCCUCCAACACUACAGUAUCCAUACAUGCAUUUUUGUUGGCCAUUCAACUUCUGGACUGGUAGGCCUACAAGCUUCCAUUCGGCACAGAGACCUGUUUAGCCAACUCGUCCUUAUCGGCACUGCCCCCUGCGCUCUAGACAAAUUCCCUGAUUACAUGAUAGGGUAUUCAAGGGAAAGGGCAGAUGAGAGGCUUAAAUUGAUGGAAGUGGAUUACAAGAAAUUUGUGGAAACAUAUAUUGAGAUUGCACUUCCAGGGAACACCAAAGACAGCGCCAAGCUGAAACUAAACACAUGUUGUCGAGGACGACCGGAGAUGUUGUUAAAUCAAUGGCGACGAUGGUAUUCAACACAGACCUGUGCCCCAUGCUGCCACUUGUGACAUCUGCAUGCACCAUCAUUAGCACAAGUGCCAAUACUGUUGCAUCAACAUUUGCUCAAAACUAUAUGAUGCAGCAGAUGAAGAAUGCUAGAAUCACACUAGUAGAGGUCAAGACCAAGGGCCACCUACCACAUCUUACCGCCGGAAAGAUGGUUGCGAAGCACAUCUCAGAUGUCAUUCAUGAGUGGAUAGCAAGAACUGAGCCAUUAACUUCCAUACCUCCUAGCCUAUUGCCUUCGUAUGAUAGGCUGCGUGAAGAGAUUAGGGUACUUAAAGAAGAAAACAUGUUGCUGAAGAGAGAGAACGAAGCUCUGAAGAAGCCAGCGAUUGAUGAGACCACCAAACUGGCAACGGUGUCCCGGCCAGGUGGUGGAAGCCAUGAAUCAUCACCAGGCAGCGGAGGUUCUUGACCAAAUAAGCGCAUUGGAACUUGAUGGUUCUUCCUCCUAGUAUGAUUUGUGUCCUGUUUUCGCAUGUGUGUGUGCUCUGGCUGUGUGCGCGUGGGCGUGGUCUGGCUGUUAGCGCCUUGGUGUGCUUGUUGUGCAUGUU